GACGAAUUUUCGGAAAUUUUGACCUAUAAAAGGGCUAAAAACAGCCUUUUCGAGUGCAAAUGGGGGGGGGGGUGUUUUUCGGAAAUUAAAAGGCUUAGCCCCCCACCGGAAAAAGUGAAUUUCCGCCACUGUUUCCCCAUUCCGGACAGAGUACAAGAAUCUGAGCACAGCAUGUCGUUGAUCACAUUUAGCGCAACUGGCAUUAAACAGAGUAAAAUAAUAAGGUAGGGUGCAUUGUGGAACAAUGGACUCGUGUAUUUUUACUUAUUUCUAACAGGUUACACAACAAAACAAAC